rnacentral:rRNA from 1 species
UAGUCCACGCCGUAAACGAUGGGUGCUAGAUGUCGGCUUUUGUCGGUGUCGUAGUUAACGCGUUAAGCACCCCGCCUGGGGAGUACGGUCGCAAGAUUAAAACUCAAAGGAAUUGACGGGGACCCGCACAAGCGGUGGAGCAUGUGGUUUAAUUCGAUGCAACGCGAAGAACCUUACCACCCUUUGACAUCCUGAUCGCGGACUCUAGAGAUAGAGUCUUUCAGCUCGGCUGGAUCAGUGACAGGUGUUGCAUGGCUGUCGUCAGCUCGUGUCGUGAGAUGUUGGGUUAAGUCCCGCAACGAGCGCAACCCUCGCCCUUAGUUACCAGCGGAUAAUGCCGGGGACUCUAAGGGAACUGCCGGUGAUAAGCCGGAGGAAGGUGGGGAUGAGGUCAAGUCAUCAUGGGCCCUUACAGGGGUGGGGCUACACACGUG